rnacentral:rRNA from 1 species
UACAGAGGUCUCGAGCGUUAGGCGGAAUCACUGGGCUUAAAGCGUGUGUAGGCGGAUCGUUAAGUGCCUUGUGAAAUCCCACGGCUCAACCGUGGAACUGCUUGGCAUACUGGCGGUCUUGAGCAACCUAGGGGCGAGCGGAACAAAUGGUGGAGCGGUGAAAUGCGUAGAUAUCAUUUGGAACGCCAAUGGUGAAAACAGCUCGCUGGGGGUUUGCUGACGCUGAGACACGAAAGCCAGGGGAGCAAACGG